UGCUGGAGACUUGGUCGUUGCCAUUCAAACCAGGUUUGUUUCUCCCCCUUUGUCUUCACUCUCAUCUCAUCUCUUUCGAAAUCCUAGGGAGCCUAUCUCUGUGAUAUGCUUCGAUGGUUAUCAAGAUAUAUAUCGUGUUUAUGGGGGUGGUUUUUUGAACGGGCGAGAGAAAGAAAAUAGAGAGAGUGAGAGAGUGACCGAAGAGGAGGAAAAAAACGAGUGAUGUUCGUAUUCAUUUGGGUUGGGGUAUUUUCUUCUGAUUUGGGCAGAUUUGGGAUCGAUCUGAGGGUUGGUUUUGGGUUUUCCUUGGGACCGAUUCUUGGCUUAGCUUAGUGGGUCUUGGACCGAUCGAUCUGAGCCUUGAAGCCCCACCUUCAACUCCUCCAUCGCCGGCGACAACAGGGAGUUCUUUUGCUGUUGUGCUUUUGGUUUCUUGUUUGGUUUGGUUGUUUUUAACUUACUGUUUUUCGUAUUUUUUUCUAAUCUAAUCUGUGGUUUGUGGAUUUUGCGAGGAAUUUUCUUUACAGGCACAACCUCUCUGGCCUUUGUUAUUUGCAACAUGGAUAAGGUGUUCUCAUCCAAGUCCAGUGACUUAGCCAUGGCUUUCAGGAGCAGCCCGUUCAUCUCUGCCAACUUUGCUGUGUAUUCAUUCAACGCUGUAGAUUGAAAAAAUGGGUUCUGUUGAUGAAUCUGAACCGAAAGCAACCGCAAGAGCUGAGAGCAGAUCGAAGCCUUCUGAGUUCUUCUUCUCUAGUCACUGAUGGAGAUGAGAGCAGGCCGAGAUCAACGACUGGAACUUCCAGGGAAGGAAAGGCAGCUCCGCCACCAAUAUUGGCUCCAUCUUCACCUUUGUAGAUAUAUCUCUCCGGCAGCUCAUGGUUACUGAGAAGCAGUUCAUGGACUGGCUUAAACAGUGAUUCUGCCAUGGCCGCCUGAGAAGAGCUUCUGCUGUUGAAACCUGAAAGUUUUUAGCUGUUAGAUAUUAUAAUUGAUUUUUCAUUUUUGGGAUCUCUUUGAAACUUGGUUUGGACUGGUAUGCAUCUCUCCCUCAAGUCAAAACAGCCUGCUAUAUAGUAUGUAUAUACAUAUACAUAUAUAUAUAUAUAUUACUUCCAGAUCCUUGAUACGAUUAAUUGUAUUAAAUAAUGAUAUCAUUAUACAAUUUUUAUUAAAAUGGUUUAAUAUUAACAGUUUAGAAAAUUAUUGGGUCAUUUUAGUUAGCAUUCUCCUCCCCCCCCCUUAAUUAGGCUUAUUAAUUUCUUCCCAUAAAUUAGGCUUCUUUGGUAUCGAAUCAAUUGCUACUUUAAAAAAUAAAAGUAAAAAAGAAAAAUAAUUCUAUCAAUAUAGAUGUUCAAGCAAGCCUAAUUCUGAUAUAUAUCUGACAGUGAAAUUGGGAACAUAUAAAAGAGAGAUUAGGAAUAUUAAUUAGACAUGUUUGAAGCUCCCUAUUAGCAUAUUGGUAUAAAAAACCUUGGCAAGCAAGCACAGUAUCACUAUUAGUAUAUUAGUAAGUUGUUGGUUUAGAUGUAUCACUUAAUUUCAUGAAUUUAAAAAUUGAUCAAUUUUAAAUUAGUGUAUAUUCUUAAGUUGAGGCUUGUAGUUUCAUAAGCAGCAGUAUUAAAAUUGAUACAAGGACUUUUCUUUUGAGUACAAGCUGAGAAAUUAGCCUAUCCUAAGUUCAAAUUGUGUGGAGGUAAAGAUUUUUUGUAUUGCCAGGAUGUUAGAACUUAAUAAGAGUGUAUCAGUUGCAUUUAAUUCCAUCCAUCCAUCCAUUUUAUGUGUCAAAGAUUUUAAGUAUUUUGUUCGUACAUAUGAUGCAAUUUCUUCUUCAUAUCAACUCAAAGGAAAUAUCUCCACUCCCAACAAGACUGGCCCCUUCUCCGUCCUCCUUCAUUCUUCUUUUCUUGAUGCAUCUUCUCAGCCAUUUAAUUCAAAAGCCCCAUUUCUUAAUUGACAAGAUGGUCCAUGAAUAACAGCAAAUUAAUAGAGGAAGAAAGAGAAAAGAAAUUUAGGUAUAAUGACUAGUAUUUAGGUAUAAUCAAAUGAUUAAUUCAAACACAAACACCCACUUAAAUGCACCUCCUUAAUUUGGACCAAAUUAAAUAGGUAUAGAACUAUAUGUGAAUAGCAAUAGCAGUCAUUUGGUCACAACAAUGAAAAAUACUAAAAUAUUCCGUGUUAGUUUUGAUAAAUAGAUGGUGUUAUUUUGGGUGUAUGAAUUUGGACUCAUACUUUGAUUUGUAUCUUAUCUCUCCCAAAUGAUAGAUUACUAUCAUAAGUCUAUUAGACAUUAUUGUAUUAGCUAUUACAUAUUAAUCAAUAACUAAAUUAGUUUAUAUUGGGACCCAUAAUGAGUUUAUCUGCUUGCAUGUACUCCAACGUAUGAAUUAAGUUGUAAAGAUUCCUAUAUUUCCAAGUCUUUCACUGUUUCCAAGUCUUCACCACCAUUUCCAAGUCUUCUCUUACAAGACCAAGUCAAUUUGUCUCCACUUGUCUAGUUUGUAUUAGGAUCCAUGGUGAGUUUAUCUGCUUGCACGUACUCCAACGUAUGAAUUAAGUUGUAAAGACUGCUAUAUUUCCAAGUCUUCACCACCAUUUCCAAGUCUUCUCUUACAAGACCAAGUCAAUUUGUCUCCACUUGUCUAGUUUGUAUUAGGAUCCAUGAUGAGUUUUUCUAUUUGCACGUAUUCCAACGUAUGAACUAAGUUGUAAAGACUGUUGUAUUUCCUAGUCUUCACUACCAUUUCCAAGUCUUCUCUUACAAGUCCAAGUCAAAGUCAAUUUGUCUCCACUUGUCUCUCUAUAAUUAGAUCAAGGGAAAAGACCACUUCAUAAUGCUUUAAAGUAGAGAUAUAAAAUAGAGCUAGCUUGAUUCUUAAAACAAGAAAAAAGAGAGAACAAAAGCAAGUAAAGAGAUAUAUAUCUCGGUGAAAAAUAUGAUAAGUACUACACCUCAUUCUUUUUGGGUGUGGAUGAUGACGAUGGUAAUGUCAGUGUUGGUGAAUGAAAUGUGUUGUCGUGGGUGUUGGGAGCAAGAGAGGAUGGCUCUGCUGCAUCUCAAAGCUUCCAUCAACUACCCCAAUGGCAACUCUUUGCCUUCUUGGGUGGAUAAUAAAUCAUCCAAUUGCUGUCAAUGGGAAAGGGUUGAAUGCAGCAACACUUCAAGCCGAGUCAUUCAACUCUCUCUUAAUCGAACAAGAGAUUGGGAAUCUAGAAAAGAUUGGUAUUUCAAUGCUUCUUUGUUUCUUCCCUUUAAAGAGAUCAAGACUCUUGAAUUAAGCGACAAUGCAUUAGUUGGUUGGGCUGAGAAUGAAGGUUUGUGGAUUCACAAGUCUCUUAUAUACGUGUCUUAUGAUUUUUUCUUUUUAAUUUUUCUAUCUUGAAUUUAAGAAGAAAGCAUUUAUUAAUUUUACUUCUUGUGUAGGUUUUGAAAGACUUUCUGAAUUGAUAAAUCUUGAAAUUCUUGAUUUGAGUUUUGACAAUUCCAAUAAUAGUAUUAUUCUAUAAUUUGUUGGGGAUUUGAGAAUAUUUGAGGUUUUUUUUUUUUUUUAUGGUUGUUAUAAGAGAUGGUGUGUAAAGAUCUAGUUUGAUAUGUAAAAAUUAAUCUAAAGUAUUAGAAAAGUUUAGUUUUACUUGCCACCAUUAAUUGAGCCAUUAAGUUUCAGUUAACUGAAGAACUUAAAGAUGUCAAAAAAGUUGAGGUGGAUUAUUAAAUGGAUGUUUUAUAUAGAACUUUGGUUGAAUCCAAUCUUAUUAUAUAUAAAUUUGAUUAAGUUGACAAAUUAGUUUAUAAAGGAUUGAAUUAACUAAGAAACGGAGCUGGUGAUGCAUGCUUACUGUACACGCAAGCACUGCACAAGAGGAUUUACAUAAAAUAUGAUAUCGAAAAUUCAAAAUUGUGUAAUGCAGGCCAGCAACUUCUUUGAUGUUGCUUUAAUUUGUUCAGCUGACUGCUUAUAUUUUGUCUUUGAUUUUCUGCUUGUAUGAGGCUGUUGUUGUUGGAAACUAAUAACUUCGGUACUCUUUUGCUUUUUUGAGAGUUAUAAUUAACAUUUGUAUUCAAUAAUCUCUUUUAUUAUUCAGUUCUUAUUUUUUGAAGUUUACACAAGACUAUUUGCUAAUUCUAUCUCUU